rnacentral:sRNA from 12 species
UCACCGGGUACAAAGUUAGGACUUGUAUGUGUAAUUCCGGCAACCAGACACGAUCGAAAGAGG